UACGGAGGGUGCAAGCGUUAAUCGGAAUUACUGGGCGUAAAGCGUGCGCAGGCGGUUUGUUAAGUCCGUUGUGAAAGCCCCGAGCUCAACUUGGGAAUUGCAGUGGAUACUGGCAGGCUGGAGUACGGUAGAGGAAGGUGGAAUUCCCGGUGUAGCAGUGAAAUGCGUAGAUAUCGGGAGGAGCACCAGUGGCGAAGGCGGCCUUCUGGACCAGUACUGACGCUCAUGCACGAAAGCGUGGGGAGCAAACAGG
rnacentral:rRNA from 1 species